UCCUUGCCGACUUAACUCGUUGCUCGGUUAUAGGUCCAGUUUUAUUAUUGUAGGUGUUAAAUGCCGCCCCAGGAGAAUGUGCGUUGCCGCAGUUUGAGAAGCUUGAAGUUAAGAUGCUGGCCUUGGAGUCGGAUCGUUCUGUCCAAUUCUGAUUCUGCCCACUUACUGACUUUGAUUUUAACCAACUUCUCUUGUCCUCGCAGCAGCCGCUCUUCUAAAACAUUCAAACCAAAGAAGAAUAUCCCUGAAGGAUCUCAUCAGUACGAACUCUUAAAACAUGCAGAAGCAACUCUAGGAAGUGGGAAUCUGAGACAAGCUGUUAUGUUGCCUGAGGGAGAGGAUCUCAAUGAAUGGAUUGCUGUAAACACUGUGGAUUUCUUUAACCAGAUCAACAUGUUAUAUGGAACUAUUACAGAAUUCUGCACUGAAGCAAGCUGUCCAGUCAUGUCUGCAGGUCCGAGAUAUGAAUAUCAUUGGGCAGAUGGUACUAAUAUUAAAAAGCCAAUCAAAUGUUCUGCACCAAAAUACAUUGACUAUUUGAUGACUUGGGUUCAGGAUCAGCUUGAUGAUGAAACUCUUUUUCCUUCUAAGAUUGGUGUCCCAUUUCCCAAAAACUUUAUGUCUGUGGCAAAGACUAUUCUAAAGCGUCUGUUCAGGGUUUAUGCCCAUAUUUAUCACCAGCACUUUGAUUCUGUGAUGCAGCUGCAAGAGGAGGCCCACCUCAACACCUCCUUUAAGCAC
rnacentral:sRNA from 1 species